UUUAUAGAGGUCGCGUUUUUUAUAAGUAGCUUUUUGGAUGCAGGCAGGCAUAAGAAGAAAAGAUGAAAGGAAAAAACGCCGAAAGAUAAAGAGUGCCGAACUUUAUCUUGGGCAUGUGAUGAAUAAUCAUAUGACUGUCAUCAGA
rnacentral:ncRNA from 1 species